rnacentral:rRNA from 1 species
UACGGGGGGGGCAAGCGUUGUUCGGAAUUACUGGGCGUAAAGGGCGCGUAGGCGGUUCGAUAAGUCAGCUGUGAAAACCAUGGGCUUAACUCAUGGCCUGCAGUUGAGACUGUCGGGCUGGAGUGUGGGAGAGGAGAGUGGAAUUCCUGGUGUAGCGGUGAAAUGCGUAGAUAUCAGGAGGAACACCGGUGGCGAAGGCGGCUCUCUGGACCACAACUGACGCUGAGGCGCGAAAACUAGGGGAGCAAACAGG